AUGACUACCUAAACCAUAAUUGGAAGGACUAUCCAUAUGCGGAUAUUGAGAAAGCACACCACCUCCACCAUUUAAUGUGGAUGUUUAAGAUCCUUUGACCUAUGAAUUAUUAGAGGCAAAGGCAUAUUUGUGCAGACCCUCUUGGAGGUUCGAAUGAACUGUUAAGGUCUGACCAUGCACUAUUUUCGGUAGCAAUGUCAGCAUAUGGUCCUUUUGCAGAGUGAGAUUUAGAAGAUAUACUAAACUGUGCAGAUUUUGAUCUUUUCAGAUAUGCAUGCUGCUUAGCACUAUUCUGACUACCUGUAAAAAUGUAAGAAUAUUAUUUGGUGACAAACAUCGUAUAAGAUUAUUAUUUGGUGACAAGCAUCGUGUCCAGUCUGAGAGAGAUCUAUAUCUAACAUACCAUUAAAAAGACUCAUGCUAGAUAAAGCAGCAAGCAGAUCCACAAACUCUGUGGUGUGAGGGACACCUCUUACACUUUAGAGCCUUACAUGAGAUUCCAACAGUCAAAAAACAAUCCUUUGAAUGCAGUUGCACAAGAAUUUAGUUUGUUAGACAUACAAUUGACUAAAAUUUAAGUUCCAAUAGUCAUUGUUCAAAAAAAACUCUUUAAACUAUCAAUAAAUUAAGUUGCUUCUAAAAGAGAUUCAGGUGGAAACCAAAUCCUUUGCUUAAAUCUUUACAUAUAUGAUUUCUGAAAGACUCCAGCAUCAAGCUUGCAGUUUUAUUUUGGAGAAAGAAGUUCUUGAAUCCACAUUGAACUAAUUUUUUUUCAAGUCACACGGGAAGAUGCAAAACAGUAACUGCAAGCCACAGUUUCAAAUGAAAUAUUCUAUCUAUAAAUUUAUGUUUUGUAAAAAAACAUUAGCAUGGAGGAGGCAAGGCAAAAAACAAAAGUUAGAACAUUACUCACCUUUGCAGCCUCCUAUAUGCAGAAUUUGAAGUUUGUAAGCUAAAAAAUUGGUGCAUUCUGCCAUUUUUAUUUCCACAACGUCAAAUCUAGAGAUACUGUAGCAAAGUGACAGGACAAUAUUGUUACCAAAUGAAGUAUCACACGCAUACAUCAAAUGUAGCUUAACACAUUUCAAUACUAAAAUGUAUAUGCAUGAAUCAGUUAUGGAAAAUUCUUCAAAACAAACCUCAAAUGAUUGAGAUGAAUAGCUACUGCACACAUUAUUCAUCUACCUGAAUUACACGACAGCCAUAUAGAUGGGUGGAGAGAUUUACAACUUGAUUAAAAAAGUAGAGACAAUAAAUUGUAUGUGUUCUUCUAGUACACAUUUUAUACACUUAUGGAUGACAUGAUUCCCAUUCUGAUCUCGUACACAGCGCAUGACAUGACCAUCUCCUCAACCAUUUUAAUCUACUGGUCCACAUCGACUACUUCUAUCGCCUGCAAGUGAACCAAAAUUUUAUUUUAGCAAAGGUUUGAACUCACAAAGGUCAGAUACCUGGAAAGCAGCCCUAUAAUCAGCCAACUUGUACCUAAGAAGCCAUAUAUCACACAUCAGUCACUGGCAGAGAAAAUAUAAUCUCCAGUAACUAUAUAACAUUGUUGCUUAGAUUGUUAAACUUCUUUUGAACAUUCGAGAGUCCAAUCCAGGUAGAGCCAUUGCAGACGCAUCAGCAGCAUUUUCAAACAAAGGAGGCAGAUUAUAGUUGCCAUGGUGGCCUGUUAAUGGAUUGACGGAAUGACUACCUAAACCAUAAUUGGAAGGACUAUCCAUAUGCGGAUAUUGAGAAAGCACACCACCUCCACCAUUUAAUGUGGAUGUUUAAGAUCCUUUGACCUAUGAAUUAUUAGAGGCAAAGGCAUAUUUGUGCAGACCCUCUUGGAGGUUCGAAUGAACUGUUAAGGUCUGACCAUGCACUAUUUUCGGUAGCAAUGUCAGCAUAUGGUCCUUUUGCAGAGUGAGAUUUAGAAGAUAUACUAAACUGUGCAGAUUUUGAUCUUUUCAGAUAUGCAUGCUGCUUAGCACUAUUCUG
rnacentral:lncRNA from 1 species